GGUCAAGUGAAGAAGCGCAUACGGUGGAUGCCUUGGCAGUCAGAGGCGAUGAAAGACGUGGUAGCCUGCGAAAAGCUUCGGGGAGUCGGCAAACAGACUUUGAUCCGGAGAUCUCUGAAUGGGGGAACCCACCUAGGAUAACCUAGGUAUCUUGUACUGAAUCCAUAGGUGCAAGAGGCGAACCAGGGGAACUGAAACAUCUAAGUACCCUGAGGAAAAGAAAUCAACCGAGAUUCCCUUAGUAGUGGCGAGCGAACGGGGAUUAGCCCUUAAGCUUCAUUGAUUUUAGCGGAACGCUCUGGAAAGUGCGGCCAUAGUGGGUGAUAGCCCCGUACGCGAAAGGAUCUUUGAAGUGAAAUCGAGUAGGACGGAGCACGAGAAACUUUGUCUGAACAUGGGGGGACCAUCCUCCAAGGCUAAAUACUACUGACUGACCGAUAGUGAACCAGUACCGUGAGGGAAAGGCGAAAAGAACCCCGGAGAGGGGAGUGAAAUAGAACCUGAAACCGUAUGCGUACAAGCAGUGGGAGCCUACUUGUUAGGUGACUGCGUACCUUUUGUAUAAUGGGUCAGCGACUUAUAUUCAGUGGCAAGCUUAACCGUAUAGGGUAGGCGUAGCGAAAGCGAGUCUUAAUAGGGCGUUUAGUCGCUGGGUAUAGACCCGAAACCGGGCGAUCUAUCCAUGAGCAGGUUGAAGGUUAGGUAACACUGACUGGAGGACCGAACCCACUCCCGUUGAAAAGGUAGGGGAUGACUUGUGGAUCGGAGUGAAAGGCUAAUCAAGCUCGGAGAUAGCUGGUUCUCCUCGAAAGCUAUUUAGGUAGCGCCUCAUGUAUCACUCUGGGGGGUAGAGCACUGUUUCGGCUAGGGGGUCAUCCCGACUUACCAAACCGAUGCAAACUCCGAAUACCCAGAAGUGCCGAGCAUGGGAGACACACGGCGGGUGCUAACGUCCGUCGUGAAAAGGGAAACAACCCAGACCGCCAGCUAAGGUCCCAAAGUUGUGGUUAAGUGGUAAACGAUGUGGGAAGGCUUAGACAGCUAGGAGGUUGGCUUAGAAGCAGCCAUCCUUUAAAGAAAGCGUAAUAGCUCACUAGUCGAGUCGGCCUGCGCGGAAGAUGUAACGGGGCUCAAACCACACACCGAAGCUGCGGGUGUCACGUAAGUGACGCGGUAGAGGAGCGUUCUGUAAGCCUGUGAAGGUGAGUUGAGAAGCUUGCUGGAGGUAUCAGAAGUGCGAAUGCUGACAUGAGUAACGACAAUGGGUGUGAAAAACACCCACGCCGAAAGACCAAGGGUUCCUGCGCAACGUUAAUCGACGCAGGGUUAGUCGGUUCCUAAGGCGAGGCUGAAAAGCGUAGUCGAUGGGAAACAGGUUAAUAUUCCUGUACUUCUGGUUACUGCGAUGGAGGGACGGAGAAGGCUAGGCCAGCUUGGCGUUGGUUGUCCAAGUUUAAGGUGGUAGGCUGAAAUCUUAGGUAAAUCCGGGGUUUCAAGGCCGAGAGCUGAUGACGAGUCGUCUUUUAGAUGACGAAGUGGUUGAUGCCAUGCUUCCAAGAAAAGCUUCUAAGCUUCAGGUAACCAGGAACCGUACCCCAAACCGACACAGGUGGUCGGGUAGAGAAUACCAAGGCGCUUGAGAGAACUCGGGUGAAGGAACUAGG
rnacentral:rRNA from 1 species